UUCUUGACCUCAGAUCAGGCAAGGCUACCCGCUGAAUUUAAGCAUAUUAAUAAGCGGAGGAAAAGAAACUAACAAGGAUUCCCUCAGUAACAGCGAGUGAAGGAGGAACAGCUCAAAUUUGAAAUCUCCGGCGCUUGCGUCGGCGAGUUGUAGUUGCGAGAAGCACUUUCUAGGCGGAUCGGUGGUGCCUAAGUCGCUUGGAACAGUACGUCAUAGAGGGUGACAACCCCGUCUGUGGCACGACCGGCCGCUCACGAUGUGCUUUCGAA
rnacentral:rRNA from 1 species